UUGACCUAGGUAUAUAAACCUAGCCUUACCCGAUACUCACGCACCCUCCCUCAAAUUCGCCGACUCCACCUUGCUUCGCUCGGCGAUCUACGACGGACACUCUACCAAGUUCUGGGUUCCAACCAAUCAACGUCCCCAUGCCGGCAAGCUACGGGGGACAUGGCAACAGGGCACAUGGACCUUCGCAUGCUCCUUGUCGGCGUAAUCUCACAGGCUAGGGAUUCUGACGGCAACGCGAGAUUGGAAAGGAAAGUUCAUCUAUCUAUGAUAAUAUGAAAUAUGUGAGGUAUAGGGGUGGGAAACUUAAGAGAUGUUGAUGCAUUUAUUCCGAUUGUUGUAAUGUGGCGCGAUUUGGGUUUUUGUUUUCUGUGAGGUUCUUGAUCCAGCAUGAGGUUCCCGUGAUGUUUUGAUUUGACUUCAGGUUUCCGUGGCGUCCGGGUUUGGCUUGAAGUUUCCUUGAUGUUAUUGCUUCUUCCUAUACACCCUGUUUGGAAUCCUAUGGAAUUGAAUUCCUAUGGUAAUUGGAAUUCAAUUCCAUAGUUUGGAAUGAAUUUUUGAGAUGGAUUUGAUAUGGAAUUCAAUUCUAAUUUCAUUCAAAACGUGAAUAGUAAAUCAGACCUCAAAUGGUCAGAUUUGGAUAGGGAUUUAUCAUGAACAACUAAAAUUACUUAAUUUUCCUUUUAACUUAAAACCUUUUUUUUCAUCUGCCGACUCUCUUGUUUUCUCCUACCUUUCUCCCGUGCGUUGUUUCUCCUUGUGUCGAAAACUUCUCCAUGCACCAUUUCUCCCGUGCGCCACCUUCUUCAUACUGCUGUCUUAACUGUGCAAUCCCUUCUUCCUAUUCUCUAAUACUUAACUUGAUUAUUAAAUGAUUAAUUAUGAGGAUAAAAUGGUAAAUAUAUAAGAAUGGAAUUCAAUUCAAAUAGAUUCCAAAUUAAGGAAUUCAAUUCAAUUCUAUUAUUCACUAAUCCAUUCCAAACAUAGGAAUUGAAUUCAAUUCCUGCCGGAAUUCAAUUCCUAAUGGAAUUCAAUUCAAUUCCUUCACUUAAGUUGUUUUCAAACAGGGUGAUAAGGUUUACAGUGUUGAUUCAUUCUAUGAGUUCUCCACUGCGAUUGGAAAGGUCUGGAUCGGGUUCUUCUAUGAUGGAUUGAGCUUUGGUAGUUUGAACUUCAGGAUUCCUGCUGUAUUGGGUGUUUAGUUGACUCCAAGGAGAUUUGUUCUUCUCUAUAAUCUACUUUUGCUUCGUUUGGAAGGAGUUGGAAUUGUCUUAUUGGUUUUGAGAAGAUUUUCGGUUUUGAUCUAUGUUGCUCUGAUUUUCAGUUUGGUUGUGGAUUUUCGGUUUGGGUAUGGUUGGAGUGUGAAUCCGGAUGAGUUCUUCCUCUUGUUUCAAGUAUUGUUGUUGAUCCUUUUUCUUUGGCUUUGAUUUUGGUUGGACAAAUUGUUGUGGGACUUUGUUUCUUUAUGCUGUUGGUUAGAGAUAUAUAGUUGAUUUGAUUAGAAUAUGUUUCUUCAUGUGGGAUUUGGAAUCAUGGUCGGAAUUGGGAAUUUUUGUGUAGAAGUUGAAUUGCCGCACUGAUUUGCUUUCCUUCUAUUGCCGGGAUUUUUGAUAAGGAAGCGAGAUUUGGAUUCUAAAACAAAACUAUAUGCUAGUUGGUUAGAUUGAUAGAGAAUUCUUGUCUAAUUUCCAGUCACAUUUUCUUGGAUAAUUACAAUGAUGGUGUAUGUGAUUACCUCACGUUAGUAUAGGAUGGCCUACUUCUUUGUUGAAUUGUUUCUGUAAAAAUUGUUACAGUGUGACAUGAUCAUUUUCGUUUGUCCUUCGCUCCGCUUCACUUUAGAUUUAUGUUAUUGGAUAAUAAUUGAAUGGUAUUGGUGUGGGCUUGGGACAUGUUCUUUCUUUGGACAGAUUGCUAGGAUAUGGAAUGGACAAGUGGUGCUCUCGUUUCCUUGUGUUGACUUCGAAUUUCCUUCCCUUCUGAACAGAAUUAGUGAGGACGUCUCCCAGGGUAUGACGGAAGGCAUGCAGACGGAGAAGACGAGGAGGCGAGAUGGAUGCAUGACAUUGUUCGGAUAUCUUAGGAGUGCUGUGAAGGCUUGAUUCUUAUGUGCCCUUCUUAUUGUAUGAGGAGUUGUAUUAGUGCUUUCUUGUUACUUUUGUUAAUCACUAGAUUGAGAUGUAUUGGUUCUAUUAGGUAUGGUGGUUUUGUAUGAUGGGUUUGUAACUCUGAUAUUUUUACUCUAAA